CUGGUUGUCCCGGUGCAAGCGUGUAGGGAUGAGAAGUUGGCAAAUCCGCUUCUCUUUAUCCUGAGACGCGAGUCCGUGACCGAAAGGUCUGAAGUUGUUGAGUCUAUGCUGCCUAGAAAAGCUUCUAAGUAUAGGACACGCAAACCGUACCGGAAACCAACUCAGGUGGGUGGGAUGAAUAAUCCAAGGCGCUCGAGAGAACUCUGGCCAAGGAACUCGGCAAAAUAACCCCGUACCUUCGGAAGAAGGGGUGCUUUUUAGGGUGAAGCGAUUCACUCUGUCGAGCCCUGAAAAGCCGCAGAGAAAUGGUGGUGGCGACUGUUUACUAAAAACAUAGGUCUGUGCCAAGUCGUAUAGACGACGUAUACGGACUGACGCCUGCCCGGUGCUGGAAGGUUAAAAGGAGGAGUCAGCGCAAGCGAAGCUCCGAAUUGAAGCCCCAGUAAACGGCGGCCGUAACUAUAACGGUCCUAAGGUAGCGAAAUUCCUUGUCGGGUAAGUUCCGACCUGCACGAAUGGCGUAACGAUCUCCACACUGUCUCGGCCAGAGACUCGGUGAAAUUGAAGUCGCGGUGAAAAUGCCGUGUACCCGCAGAAAGACGGAAAGACCCUGUGCACCUUUACUAUAGCUUGACAUUGGGAUUUGAGCCUGCAUGUGUAGCAUAGGUGGGAGGCUGUGAACUCUGUACGCCAGUAUGGAGGGAGCCAUCGUUGAAAUACCACCCUUGUUUGUUCAGGUCCCUAACUCUUCGCCGUGAUCCGGUAAGAGGACAGUGUCUGGUGGGUAGUUUGACUGGGGCGGUCGCCUCCCAAAAUGUAACGGAGGCAUGCAAAGGUUCCCUCAGGCUGAUUGGAAACCAGCCGUCGAGUGCAAACGCAAAAGGGAGCUUGACUGCAAGAGAGACAUCUCGAGCAGGUACGAAAGUAGGUGUUAGUGAUCCGGUGAUCCCGAAUGGAAGGGUCAUCGCUCAUUGGAUAAAAGGUACGCCGGGGAUAACAGGCUGAUCGCAUCCAAGAGUUCACAUCGACGAUGCGGUUUGGCACCUCGAUGUCGGCUCAUCACAUCCUGGGGCUGAAGCAGGUCCCAAGGGUACGGCUGUUCGCCGUUUAAAGUGGUACGCGAGCUGGGUUUAAAACGUCGUGAGACAGUUUGGUCCCUAUCUUCUGUGGGCGUAGGAGAAUUGAAAGGGCCUGUCCCUAGUACGAGAGGACCGGGAUGGACACACCACUGGUGGACCUGUUGUCGUGCCAACGGCACAGCAGGGUAGCUAUGUGUGGAAGGGAUAACCGCUGAAAGCAUCUAAGCGGGAAGCCUGCCUUAAGAUAAGUUCUCCCUGACGCAAGUCCUGAAGGGCCGAGGUAGACGACCUCGUUGAUAGGCUGGAGGUGGAAGCCCUGUGAGGGGUGGAGCUGACCAGUACUAAUAGCCCGUGCGUCUUGUUU
rnacentral:rRNA from 1 species